UUUUAUUAGUACUUAUUAAUAAUAUGAUCUGCUCAAUGAUAUUUAAAUAGCCGCUAUUAAGUGCUAAGGUAGCAUAAUAACUUGUCUUUUAAUUGAGGACUAGAACAAACGAUCAAACAUUUUAAUUAUUCUCUCUUUUUUAAUUUUUUAAACUAUUUUAAAUGUAAAAAAACAUUUAUUUUUAAGAAAGACGACAAGACCCUAUUGAACUUUACUUCAGUUUAACUGGGGCAGUUAAUUAAUUAUUACUUUAAUUCUUUUUAUACAACAAAAGACCUAAUACAAUUAAUAAUAUAAUCAAGUUACCAUAGGGAUAACAGCAUAAUUAUUUUUUAAAGCCCUUAUUCAUAAAAUAGAUUAUGACCUCGAUGUUGAAUAAUAACCUUAUUAGGGCAAGACUUAAUAUAGGAAGUCUGUUCGACUUAUAAAAAAUUACA
rnacentral:rRNA from 1 species